rnacentral:rRNA from 1 species
ACGCUGGCGGCGUGCCUAAUACAUGCAAGUCGAACGGUCUUUCUAUGGAAGCUUGCUUCCACUGAGAAGAUAGUGGCGAACGGGUGAGUAACACGUGGGUAACCUGCCCAUAAGAGGGGGAUAACAUCCGGAAACGGGUGCUAAUACCGCAUAGUUUUCUUGAUUGCAUGAUUGAGAAGGAGAGACGGCCUUUGUGCUGUCGCUUAUGGAUGGACCCGCGGCGUAUUAGUUAGUUGGUGAGGUAACGGCUCACCAAGACGAUGAUACGUAGCCGACCUGAGAGGGUGAUCGGCCACAUUGGGACUGAGACACGGCCCAAACUCCUACGGGAGGCAGCAGUAGGGAAUCUUCCGCAAUGGACGAAAGUCUGACGGAGCAACGCCGCGUGAGUGAAGAAAAGGUUUUCGGAUCGUAAAACUCUGUUGUCAGAGAAGAACAAGUUGGAGAGUAACUGCUCCAGCCUUGACGGUAUCUGACCAGAAAGCCACGGCUAACUACGUGCCAGCAGCCGC